rnacentral:rRNA from 1 species
UACAGAGGUCCCGAGCGUUGUUCGGAUUCAUUGGGCGUAAAGGGUGCGUAGGCGGCGGGGCAAGUCUGAUGUGAAAUCCCGGGGCUCAACCCCGGAACUGCAUUGGAUACUGCCUUGCUUGAGUACUGGAGAGGGAACUGGAAUUUACUGGUGUAGCAGUGAAAUGCGUAGAGAUCGAUAGGAAGCCAGUGGCGAAGGCGGAGUUCCUGGACAGUU